UGGGCGUCGGGGAUUUGUUCGGCUCGGACGGGGUGUUAUAAUUUUCUAGGGCUCGUUGUGUCGGGGGGCUGAAGGGGUGAAAUUCAUUAAGCUGCGGCGAUAUGCCGGGUCCGGUGGAUUUGCUGAACUUUUAAAGCCUCGGGAAUAAAAUAGGAUUAGAUACCCUGCUAUACCGGGGUGAGAUUAAAGGUGCUUGGGGUAUUAAGAAGUUAUGGGCUUGAAACUCACAGGAAUUGGCGGUACUUAAGUCUGGUUAGAGGAACUUGUAUACUAAACGAUAGUCCACGAGAAUCUAGCCCCUCCUUGUAAACUCAGCUUGUAUACCGCCAUUAUCAGGCAGUUUCAAGAGAAAACUGCUUUAAAAGAGGUUAGUCUAGCAAAUUAGGUCAAGGUGCAGCUUAUGGGGGGGUUAUAAUAUGGGUUACAUUGGUAUAGGAGCAAACGGAUGGGGCUCGGUAUCGGGUCUUUGAGGGUGGAUUUAAUUGUAACGGGGCGGAUCUGAAGGCGGUGAUAGGAGCUCUUAGGUAUGUACACAUCGCCCGUCGUUCUCGCUUU
rnacentral:rRNA from 1 species